CUUCCGGUUGCUGUAGAAAGACCACACUCCUACACCGUAGUUUUAGGAGUUCAAAGGGGCACAGAAAUUAUAAGAGACAAUCUUGGGUUUAUGUACUAUAAAAACAAAGUAACAGAGAAUAAAAUUUACUUGGCAUGUUACGAAAAGAAAUUGGAAGGACAGUGCCGGGCAACUGCUCACAUAUCUCCGGACCGCAAUGAUGAUAGGUUGACACUGUCGAAGCAACAUUUUCAUCAUGUCAGGGAACUUAAUCUCAAUGUUCCACUGCUUCGACAGGAGAUAACUGAAAGGGCUUUAGAGAGAACCAUAAACUCGUAUACUCCACGUGGAAUUUAUAUGCAAGCAAUUGCUAAUUUUCCAGAAGCUGCAGAAAAUUAUACCUUUCUACAGAGUGUAGAGAGGAUGCGGCGUAUAAGACGUAAGUUUUUCCCGCAGACUCCACGAAACAUGGCACAUUUGCACGAUUUGUUGACAGCUGCUGAUAAUGAACAUUUUGCAAUGACACUGCAAAACCCUCCUAACAGGUUUUAUCAAGGUCCAUUGAUGGUAGAGGGAAUCGUCAGUGGAGUCAUUUUUUGUAACGUCGCCAAUAUCAAUAUGAUUGCACCAGAUUUGAGAAGUGUCCGUGUAGCAGGGUGUGAUGGCACGUUUAAAACUGUACCAAAGUUUUUAGAAAAUGACGCCUAUCAGUUGUUUUCUUUCCAAGUGGUAUUUAAGGAUGUAAGCUUCCCUUUAGUUCAUGCCAUUUUGAUUGGAAAAACUCAACAAAUUUAUGUUGAAUUACUACAGUACAUAAGAAAUGUGCUUCCAUUAUGUUAUGAUCAGCUCAAAAUUAUUACUGAUUUUGAGCUAGGGCUAAUCAAUGCAGUCAAUUUAGUUUUUCCGGAAAGUAAACACCAAGGGUGUUACUUUCAUUACUGUCAAGCAGUAAUAAGAUAUGUCAGAAAUAAGAGGAGCAACAUAUUUCAAUUAUUCAAAGCUGACAAUAAUGCUGCUCGUGUGCUUCGAAUGAUUUUAGCAUUACCAUACUUACCAGCUACACAAAUUGGUGAUGUUUUGCCUUCAAUGGAGGAUGGGUUUCAUAGCAUUGUUGAAAAAGGAGAGAAAAGUUAUACAUUGAAGCUUGUAUAUUAUGUUGUUAUUUCUUAAUGUUGCACGAUUCAAUUCAUGUUUAACUCUAACCAAAUCUAUAUGUUUGUGUCUCAGGUAAGUAUAUAUACAUUAUAAAAUACAGAUACAGGUAAGCACUAUAUAUGUGUAUGCUGUUUGUGUUAACCACCAACACUUAAGUAUCAGUAUUGAGAAAAUUUUAGAAAUAAUCAAUAAAGAAUAAAAAUAUUUGGCUUAGUAAGUAGUAACAGUUUUAAAAUAUAUAGGAGUAAUCCCUAAUUUAUACAUUUUUUAUUUUAUAGAAAAUAAAAAAAAGGAUAAAUUGUGCAUUGUUACUUGUAUGAGUUGUUAUAUGUUUAACAUAAAACAAAACUUUAUGUUAGUGUCUCAGGUAAGUAUAUUAUAUACACAGAAUACAGAUACAGGUAAGCGCUAUAUAUGAGUAUUAAGUUUAUGUUAACCACCAACACUAAAGUGUUAUUAAUCAUUACUGAGAACAUUUUAGACCUCAAGAAAAAUUUUAUUUUUAAUCUUAAUAGUUAUUGUUAUUUUAUGUUUUAGUAAGAUUUAAUUUGGUAAGUUAUAAAAAUAACUAGAUUUUAUGUUUAGAGUACAUGUAUAUGGAUCCUAGAUAACCUUAGAAGCUUUUAUCUUAGACCUUAGUAUCAACUAAUACUCAAUACUAUAAACUAAUAACUAUAAAUCACAAUGUAGAUACUAUAACAUUAUAAUAUUAUUAGUAAGUACUUCUAAUAAACAACUUACUUUAAUUUAUUACAGUUCAGUUACAAUUUCUGGAAAACCAGCAGUAUACUGAAUUUCGUCAGGCUAAGAACAAUUUAAAUAUUCGAAAUGGAGUACCAACUAGAGCAAGAAUACAGAACUCUGAUGCAAUUAGGAACUUCCUUCAGGAACUUGCUACAGAUAUGAGCCCUACUCGAAUAUUUACAUUUUUAAGGCGUGCUGGUCAUAGGGUGGAUGGG